CCUGAGUACACUACACCAACACAGAAAAAUUCAUAUUACUAGAAUACAUUGGUAUCGAAGGAACUAGAUUCUGUUCCGAAAUAUCACUUACUCGAACCGUCCUGACCGCGUAGCUCAGUUGGAAGAGCAUUGGGCUAGUAUUCCAAAGGUCGUAGGUUCGAAUCCCACCGUGGCCGGGCAUAUUUUUCAAGCUCGCCCGGUGUGGAUAUACACUCGGAGUAACACCACAAAUAACAAUUUUGUAUAUACCGAUAAAUCAAUAUUCCGAGUAUAUAAAUAUAUAAACUGGGAUGUCACACUGAUAGCUUGUUUACAUUUCCUGGAGCAUCAUGAAAUCUUAUGUUUAACCACGGUGGUUUAACCCAUUAGCUGGCAAUGCGCCCUUCCCUUGUCCAACGCCAGAAGAUUU